CGUGUGGCACCUGUCCCUGCAGCCUCGGCCUCACCACUGAAUUGAGUGCAUUUGUUCGCUGCUCUUGCAUUUUAAUUUUAGUGGAAUACACCUGAAAGCCUUCCAAUAAGCCUGCCUUUGAAAGCAAUUGAUUCUUCUGAUUUUCUUUCACUCCCGGAGACUCUGCCCCAGGCCCUGCCCUACCUCUCACCCCUCUGUGGAUCGCACUCUGCCAGGCCCAGGGUGUUCACCAGCUUCUGGUCCCCGCCGAGCGGAGGACACAGAAUCUUGAAUUUCAGUGCUGAGGGUGAUUUUCAUCUGCUCCUCCGCUCUGUCACCUCCUAGCCAUUUCUGAGCUCCUGUGGCCGGCGUGAAGGAGAAGCAGGUGAGUGCCACUCUGCCUUGAGACUUCCACUGGCGUCUGACUGACGUGAUUAGUACAGAGUGGGAGCUCGCCAGCGCUGUGCACAGUGUUAAAGGAAUUGCAUUUGGAAGGUGGGAGAGUCACUCGCAGAAGCUAAGUAGGAAAGGCUUCCUGGAAGAAAGGGCCUCGGAGGUGCCUGUGAAAGUGGGCGUGGUCAGAAGAAAACAUUGGAAGUGCAUCACACGACAAGAAGAGCCGUUUCCCAGAAUUCCACCCGCUGGUCCAGCUCUUCCAUGCCUUCCCCAGCUGCUACAGAAUUGAGGGAAUCUUGAACAUGAACUUGGAGAUUGGUCCCGGCCUCAGAAGCAGAGCCUCCUCACUAGAGCAAGCUUCCUCAGGGGCACUGGGUUGUUUGAGACGGAGAAGGACUUCAACUCAGGCGCUCUGCGUGUCCCCGGGGUGGUGUGGGCAGGAGGGCCCUCGGCCCUGAAGAUGGGCAGCGAGGCCUUCUGAACCUGCGUCUCUCGCAUCCUCCCUCCUGAGUCGCAUUGUUGAGCCUCGCCUGGUGACCUGCUGCGCCCCGCUGAGCAGCUGGGAAUCACCUUGGUUCAGUAUACAUCGUGGAUUUCACAGUGCGAAGGCCCCAUCACGGCUAGU